CAGAAUCUCAACACAGCCAGAGGAACUGCUGGGGUCAAGAGUACAUAAAUGUUUGAGCUGCCAUCGAGCAGCCCAGCGUGGUGAUCCCGGCCCCCGGCCCCUCGCGGACCUCCUCCUACGUUGAGUACGCUCCAGCCAGCUGGACCUACGCCCAGUGACAUUAUUUCCUCUUGUGAAAAGUUUGGCCUUACAAAAAAGUUUGACCCAUGUCUUUGUAGUGUUUUUUGAACACAUUUGAAGAAGGUUUUCAAUGCAGACCUGUUCAUGAAAUCCACAAGCUCAGAAAACUCAUGUCCUCAAUAUGAGAGAAUCUAGGCUACAGAAAGAUCCAGAAGAGAGGAAGUGAAUAAGGAGCAGAAAGAAGAGAAAAGAGCCAGAGGAAGAGCCUGCAAGGCCAGCAGGGAGGAGCAACUCCCUCUGGUGGUCAUUCUGGGAAGCUGCGGGCGAGAUGUUCUGCUCCCAAGGACUCAAAGAAGCCAUCAUUCUGUUAUAAUUCUGUUGUAAUUUCUGUGGUCAGCCCAGCCAUAGCAGAAGCACUGAGGUACUGUAUUUGCUGCUAAUCUUCAUAGAAUUUUAUAACUGAAAAGCCAAAUCCAUUAAACCCUAACUUGUGUCUGGAAUCCACUUUUCCCUGGUUGUAUUCAUAGGAAUAGAGGGAAGGCUCUUGAAAUUUUACUAUGUAGUGCUCUCUUCAUGAUAAGGAUUUUUUGGCAGAUAUCCUGUGACAUAUUAGGGAAGUUCUAGUUUGCCAAGAGGUAUUAAAAAAUUGAUUAUUGAUUGUCAACUUCAACAAUGUCUUUUGAAAUAUGCCUACCUGAGAUUAUUUCAUUUUAAUCUGUUGUGUGUGGUAUUGUAUCUAUAGGUUUUCUGUUAUUAAGCCAGUAUUUCCUCUUGGUAUAACACUGCUGAAUAUUGAUAAUUAUAUUCAUGUAACACUCUAGAUUAUGUUUGCUGCUCUUUUAUUUAGGAUUUUUAUGUUCAUGAUUGACUUAUGGUUUUUCUUUCACAUAUUAUAUUAGUUGUUUUCACACAGCUAUUAUGUCAACUUCCUAGAGUGAGAUAGAAAUUCUUCCCCCUUUUCUGUCCUAUGGAAUAAUUUAUAUAACAAAGAUGCUCUAUUCCAUGAAAGUUUUGCGGGA